GAGGAGUCCCAGGGAAGGGGACGUCUCCUCUACCUGGGCCAGGCUGGGAAGGCUUCAUGGUGGAGACGGCGGGCCCAGGCGCGUGGGCCCGGAGUGGGGCGGGAAAUGCGCUGGGGAGGCGAGGCUGUGCCGGGAUGCUGGGCCCAGCCUCUCCUGGGCCCCUAGAGCCAGCCCGGGAAAGAGGAGUUUAAGACCAAGCAUGUUCUGAGAACACCACACAGCAAGUACUGGGCUACAUGUUGUACAGACAUUCUCAUCAUGUCACUGGAACUUCUCAGCUAACCUGAGCACCUGAGCAAAAGACCUCUGCAGCUGAGUCCAAAGAGCAUUCCCAUGUGAACCGAGCAACCAAGUAUCAUCGGAGUGGCUGAGCCUGGGAUUUCCAACUUGGGAGACUACACAGUGGACUCUAUAAUGAUUAGUGGCAGCAUCCAAUGUCUCUUCCAAGUCUAAAAUUUAUGAAUUUUAAACUGGAGUUGCACCAACUGUGAGACAGCCUCAACCCCAAUGUUAA
rnacentral:lncRNA from 1 species